UUCUUCUUCUUCUUUCUCUUCCUCUUCCUCUUCUCCUCCUCCUCCUCCUCCUUCUUCUUCAUUCUUCUCUCCAAAGCCCCCCAGUACAUAGUUGUAGAUUCUACUUGUGCGUGUCUCUGGUUGUGCUAUGUGGGAUGCCUACUCAGCAUGGCCUUAUGAGCAGUGCCAUGUCUGCACCCAGGAUUCAAACCAGCAAAACCCUGGACCACCAAAGCAGAGCAUGCAAACUUAACCUCUCGGCCAUAGGGCUGGCCCUUUUCCUUGUCUGGUUUUGGCAUCACAGUAAUGUUAGCUUUGAAGAAUGAGUUAGGAAGUGUCCCCUCCUCUUCAAUUUUUUGGAAGAGUUUGAGAAGGAUAGGUAUUAAAUUUUCUUUGGAUGUUUGGUAGAAUUCAUCAGGGAAGCCAUCUGGUCCUGGAAUUUUGUUUUUCAGGAGGUUUUUGAUUACUGUUUCACUCUCCUUACUGGUGAUCUGUCUAUUCAGAGUCUCUAUUUCUUCUUGAUUCAGUUUUGGAAGCUUAUACAAUUCUAUAAAUCUAUCCAUCUUCUAUAUUAUCCAAUUUGUUGGAGUAUAGCUUUUCAUGGUAUUAUCUUAUAAUUCUUUGUAUUUCUGUGGUAUCCAUUGUAAUUUCUCCUCUUUCACUUCUGAUUUUAUUUAUUUGAGCUUUCUCCCCUUUUUAAUAGUGAGGCUACCCAAAGUUUUGUCAAUUUUAUCUUUUCAAAGAAUCAGCUCUUAAUUUCAUUGACCUUUUCUAUUGUCUUUUUAGUCUCUAUUUCUUUUAUUUCUGCUCUGAUUUUUAUUAUUUCCUUCCUUCUACUGAUUUUGGGCUUUGUUCUUUUUCUAGUUCCUUUAGGUGUAAUGUUAGAUUUUUUUAUUUGAGAGUUUUCUUGUUUCUUGAGGUAAGCUUCUAUUGCUAUAAACUCUUAGAACAGUUUUUGUUGUAUCCCAUAGAUUUUGAUAUGUCAUAUUUUCAUUUUCAUUUGUCUCCAGAUAUUUUUUGGUUUUCCUUUGAUUUAUUCAUUGACCCAAUAGUUGUUCAGUAGCAUUUUGUUUAAUCUCCACUUAUUUGUGACUUUUCCACUUUUCUUCUUGUAGUUGAUUUCUCAUUUCAUACCAUUGUGAUUGGAAAAGAUGCUUGAUAUUAUUUCAAUCUUCUUAAAUUUAUUGAGACUUCUUUUGUGGCCUAAUAUGUGAUCUAUCCUGGGGAAUGUUCCAUGUGCAUUCAAAAAGAGUGUGUAUUCUGCAGUUUGGGGUUGGAAUGCUCUGUAUAUAUAUGUUAAGUCCACUAGUCUAAUGUGUCACGUAAGGCCAAUGUUUCCUUAGUGACCUGUCUGGAUGAUCUAUCCACUGAUGUAAGUGGAGUGUUAAAGUCUCCUACUAUUACUGUGUUACUGUCCAUUUCUCCUUUUAUCUCUGUUAAUAAUUGCUUUAUGUAUUUAGGUGCCACUAAGUUUGGCACACAGAUAUUUACAACUGUCAUAUUCUCUUGUUGGAUUGUUCCUUUUAUCAUUAUGUAAUGCCCUUCCUUGUCUCUUGUUACAAUGUUUGUUUUAAAGUCUAUUUUGGAGGCCGGUCUGGUGACUUUGGUGGCCCAGGGUUUGCUGGUUCAGAUCCCAGGCAUGGACCUACGCUCAGCUCAUCAAGCCAUGCUGUGGUGGCGUCCCAUAUACAAAGUAGAGGAAGACUGGCAUGGAUAUUAGCUCAGGGACCGUCUUCCUCAAACAAAAGGAAGAAGAUUGGCAACAGAUGUUAGCUCAGGGCCACUCUUCCUCACAAAAAAUUAAAAAAUAAAAAAUAAAUAAAGUCUAUUUUGUCUGAUAAAAAUAUUGUUACUCCAGCUUUCUUUUCAUUUCCAUUUGCAUGGAAUGUCCUUUUCUAUCCCUCCACUUUCAGCUUCUGAGUGUCUUUAGGUCUGAAGUGUGCAUCUCUUGUAUGCUGCAUAUACACAAGGCUUGUUUUUUCAUCCAUCCAGCCACCAUAUGUCUUUUGAUUGGAGCAUUUAGUCCAUUUUCAUUCAAAGUAACUAUUGAUAAGUGUGUACUUAUUGCCAUUGUGUUACCCUUUUUUUGGACGUUUUUGUAGUUCUUCUCCAUUCCUUUCUUCUUUUCUUGCUCUCUUCCCAUGUGAUUUGAUGGCUUUGUUUAGUCUUAUGUUUGCAUUCUUUUCUCCUUAUUUUUUGUAUAUUUAUUAUAGGUUUUUGGUUUGUGGUUACCUAUUUAAUUAGCAAUCUAUAUUGUGUUGAUGAUCUCUUAAGUUCAACAUCUUACUAAAAGCCCUACACUUUUACUUUCCUCCCCACCACAUUUUGUUUUUGACAUCAUAUUUUACCUGUUUUUUUUUUUUUUUCCUGAGGAAGAUUCACACUGAGCUAACAUCCCUGCCAAUCUUCCUGUUUUUUAGUAUGUUGGCCACCAGUACAGCAUGGUUGCUAACAGAGCUGUGUAGGUCCACGCCUGGGAACCAAACCCAGGCUGCUGAAGCAGAAUCUGCCAAACUUAACCACUGGGCCACUGGGGCUGGCCUGAUACUUUACCUCUUUUAUUUCUUUGUAUCCUUUAAUCUCUUAUCAUAGAUAUAGGUGAUUUUAGUACUUUUGUCUUUUAAGCUUCACAUUAGAUUUAUAGGUGGUUGGUCCACUACAUUUACUAUGUAUUUGCCUUUACCCAUGAUAUUUUUCUUUGAUAAUUUACUUAUUCUUAUUUGUGGCCUUUCCAUUUCCACUUAAAUAAGUACCUUUAACGUUUCUUGUAAGUCAGUUUAGUGGUGAUGAACUCCUUUAGUCUUUGCUUGUCUGGAAAACUUUGUUUCUCCCUCUAUUCUGAAUGAUAAUGGAACCCAUUCUGGCUGGGUAAAAUAUUCUUGGUUGUAGGUUUUUUCCUUUCAGCACUUUGAAAACAUCAUGCCACUCCCUUCUAGCCUGUAAAGUUUCUGCUGAAACAUUAGCUGAUAACCUUAUGGGGUUUUCUUUGUAUGUAACUUGUUUCUUUUCUCUUGCAGAUUUUAGGAUUCUCUCUUUAUCUUUAAUUCUUGACAUUUUAAUUAUAAUGUGUCUUGAUGUGGGCCUCUUUGAGAUCAUCUUUUUUGAUACUUUCUGUGCUUCCUGUACCUAGAUGUCUGUUUCCUUCCCCAGAUAAGGGAAGUUUUCAGCUGUUAUUUCUUCAAAUAAAUUCUCUGCCCUGUUCUGAGAGUUGUUUCUCUCUUCUCCUUGUGGGACACCUAUAGUAACAGCUGUUAGUGCAUUUGAUGUUGUCCCAGAGGUCCCUUAGACUGUCCUCAUUCUUUUUAGUUCUUUUUUCUUUUUCUAUUCAGCUUGGGUGAUUUCAUCUACUCUUUCAUCCAGAUUUCUGAUCUGUUCUCUGUGUCAUCUACUCUGCUGUUGAUUCCCUCUAGUGAAUUUUUCACUUCCGUUAUUGUAUUCUUCAGUUCUGAUUGGGUCUUUUUUAUAUUUUCUAAGUGUUUGUUGAACUUCUCCCUGUGUUCAUCUAUUCUUCUCCCCAGUUCAGGGAGCAUCCUUAUGACCAUUAGUUUGUACUCUUUAUCAGGUAGAUUGUUUCUCUCUCUUUCAUUUAGUUCUUUUUCUGAGGAUGCAUCCUCUUUGUUUAUUUGGAACAUAUUCCUUCCUCUCCUCAUUUUGCCUACUUCUCUGUGCUUAUUUCUAUGUAUUAGGUAGAUCAGCUACAUCUGCCAAUCUUGGAAAUGUGGCCUUAUGUAGGGUACCCCUUAUAUGGCCCAGCAUGCUCCCCUACCAUCACCUGUACCAAAUGCCCCAGGGGUGUCUCCUGUGUGGGCUGUGUGUGCCAUUUUAUUGUGGCAGGGUUGCAAUUGCUGUGGGCACUGGGGUAGUCUGGGCUGACCCCCAGAGUGUCUGGUUGUGAGGCCUGGCCACAUGUGGCUGCUAUGGGAACUUUAUUGAGUGGGGCAAAUCCCUGGCACAGCUGGCUGAAAGGUCUGGUAGCCCAUUACUGCAGUUUCACUGGUAAGCGAGUCAGGCCUGCAGUGUGGCUUGUUGCUAGGCCAAGGAGCACACAACUGCUGCAGGCCCCUGGUGUGGCUGGCUGCACAGCCCUGAAGCACUCAGCUGCCUUGCAUGGGUUGGUGCUCAGGACAGCUUCUGGUGAGGCUAGCUGCACAGCAUGUGACUGUUGCCAGCUCACUUUUGGGCGUGGCAGGCCUCUUGCGCAAACUGGUUACAUGACUCUGUGGUGCACAGCUGCCUCAGGUGCACUCAUGGGUGGAGCAGCCCACAAGCAUGGCAGUGCACAACCAUUUCAGUUGUUCAUAGGCAGGGAAGAUCCCCUGUGUGGCUGUUUGUGAGGCCCAGUGGCACCCAUCUGAUACAGGCUUGCUGGUAGGUGGGGCUGGUCCUUGGGGUGAGCUGCCUGCCCUGCUUGGCUGCACCUGAUUGCUUUGGGUGCUUUAGUGGGGAGGACAGACCCCUGUAGUAAGAGGCUGGAGGAAGGACUCCGAUGGUGCUUGUCAGUGUCUGUGUCAGCACAGCUGAACUAGGUCACAAUAAUUGCUGCCAUCAGUGUCUCUGUCCCCGGGGAGUGGGUGCAGCCAUCUCUUGCUUCUCCAGGAAGUUCUCUAAGCUUAGUAAGUGAGUCUUUUUUUUUUAACCAAUGGACUAUGCCCUUUUCUAUUUGGUGUUUUUGUGCUGGUUUCCUGUAAGUGAGCCUGUGUGUGGGCCCUUUAAGAGCAGGUUUUCCUUUCCCUGAAGUCCUGUGGUUUUCCUGGGCUUAUUCCCCAUUGGUUUUCAAAGCCAGGUAUUUUGGGAUCUCAUUUCUGUUGUGCUGGAUCUAAGGGCUGGGGUGCCUAAUGUGGAGCUCAGAUCCCCCACCCCUCCAAGAGACAGCUCCCUCCCUUUGAGAUCACUCCUGACUGUGAAGUGCCGGCUCUGUCUGGUUCUUUCUCCAGGUUUGGGACAUUCUCAGCUGUUAUUUCUUUGAACGAGUUCUCUGCUCCUUUCUUCCUCUUUUCUCUCUCUGGAAUACCUAUAAUUCUUAGGUUGCUUUUCCUAAUUGAGUUGGAUAUUUCUCAAAGAAUUCCUUCAUUUUUAAAAAUCUUAGUUCUCUCUCCUCCUCUACCUGAAGCAUUUCUAUAUUUCUAUUCUCCAAAUCAUUAAUUCUUUCCUCCAUAAUGUCAGCUCUAGUUUUUAAGGAUUCUAGAUGAUUUUUGUCAUUAAUUGUGUUCCUCAUAUCCAGAAUUUCUGCUUGCCUCUUUUUUAAAUAGUUUUAAUCUCUUUGGUGAAGUAUUCCUUCUUCUCAUUAAUUUCAUUGCUGAGCUCAUUGAACUGUCUCUCUGAGUUUUUUUGUAACUCAUUGAGUUUCUUUAUGACAGCUAUUUUGAAUUUUCUGUCAUUCAGAUUGUAAAUAUCUGUGACUUUAGGGUUGGUUUCUGGAGAUUUGUUAUUUUCCUUCUGCUCUGAAUUGUUGUUGUAGUUUCUCAUGGUGUUUGAUGAACUAAUUUUUUCCAGUGCACUUGUGAUAGUAUCAGGUCGUAGAUUCCACCUGCUACCCCUGGGGGAAAGCAGGAGCUGUGUUUCUGAUCCCACCUUGUAUGCUGGAAGGUGUGCAGGUAUCAUGGGUGCUCCCACUGGCCGGGAGAGUGUUCGCAUGCAGGCUCAGGGCUGCUGCUACACCAAGGUGCAUUCCCACUUGUGGGGCUGCAGUGAUACAAUGGGCCCUCGUGCUGGCUGGAAAAGUGAUCACAUGCAUGCCUAGGUCUGCCACCACCUCUUCUUGCAGUCACACCAGCCACUGUGCUUGGUGGGUGGGGCUUCUUUGCAGGGUCCAAGCCUGGGCCACUCCUUGGGACUGCAGCAACAGCUUGGAUUCUCCCACCAGCUGGCAAAAUGUUUGCUCCUGGGUCCUGGGCUGCUGCCGCCCCUUCCCACAGUCGCACUGAGGAAUGUUCCCAUUUUUGGGUCCAAAGUGGUACUAUGGGUGCUUGCACCAGCUGCAAAAGCUUUUGGGCAUGUGCACAGGGCUUCUGGGGAAGGGUACAAGAGUGCUCACCUAUCUCCACCACUUCCCAGGGAGCCAGCCCAUCAACCUUCAGAUGUAUAGCUGUGUGGGUCUCUCAGAUGUCCUGUUGUGCUGUGUGAUUACCCUCCACAGGUCAAUGAAUGUCCAUAUAGUUGUAGUUCAAAGAGGGAGAGACAAAGGGAAAUAGCUCACUCUAAGUUGCUUACAUCAUUCCUCAAUAGUCUGAUUUUUUUAAAAAAGAAAAAAAUUAACUCAAAAUGAUAUAGACCUAAAAGUAAAAUGUAAAACCAUAAAAGAGAAGAAAACAAGAGAAAAUCUUUGUGAUCUAUAGUUAGGAAAAGUGUUCUUAGAGAUGACAUCAAAAGCAAUAUCCAUAAAAGGAAAAAACUGAUACAUUGGACUUUAUCAAAAUAAAAAACUUUCCUCUGCAAAAGACACUGUUAAGAAAAUAAAAAAAUAAGCCACAGACUGGAAGAACACAUUUGCAAGUCAUUUACAAGAUUUUUAUCUUGUAUCCAAAAUAGAUAAAGAGAUAUUAAAACUCAACAGUAAGAAUACAAACGGAAUUUAAAAGUGGACAAAAGACUUAGUUACCCCACCAAAGAAGAUAUGCAGAUGGCAAAUAAGUACAUGAAAAUAUAUUUGACCUCUUAGUCAUUAGGGAAAUGCAAAUUAAAACCAUGACAAUAUACCACUGCACAUCUCUUAAGAUUGCUAACACAAAGAUUGCAGGUAAUACCAACUUCCGGAAAUGAUGCAGGGCAAUUGGAAUUCUCAUGUGUUGCUGGUGGAAAUACAAAAUGGUACAGCCAUUCUGGAAAAACAGUUUGGCGCUUUCUUAUGAAAUUAAACACAUCCUUACCAUACAACCCAACAGUCCCACUCCGGAGUAUUUAUCCUAGAGAAAUGAAAUCUUAUGGUCACAAAAAGAACUGUACACAAAUGUUUAUAGAAACUCCAAUUCAAAGUCACCAUAAACUGGAAACAACCCAGUGUCCAUCAACAGGAGCAUGGAUUUAAAAAUUAUGGUACAUCCAUUCAAAGAAAUAUUAUUCAACCAUAAAAACAGACCAAACUACAGAUACAUGCAACAAAAUGGAUGAAUCUCAAAAAUAUUAUGACAAGUGAAAUAAGGCAGACAUGAAAGAUUACAUCCUGUAUGAUUCCAUUUACAUGACAUUUUCAAAAAGACGAAACUAUAGGGAUGGACACUAGAUCGGGUUGCCAGGGAUUAGAGGCAGGUGGGGGCUGUGACUAUGAUGGGAUAGCAGGAGGGAGUUUUUUGAGAGAUGUUGGUGAUAGAAUUGUUCUGUAUCUUGAUUCUCAUGGUUACAUGAAUCUAUACAAGGGUUAAAACUCAUACCUGUACACACUGAAAAAAUCAAUUUUACAGUAUGUAAAUUUUUAAAAACUUACUCUGGUCAGAAAAUACACAUUAUAUAAUUUUUUAUCUUUUGAAAUUUGCAGAGACUUGCUUUAUGGCCCAGGAUGCAGGCUACUUUGGUAAUGUUCCCAGUGCACAUGAAGAAUGUGUAUUCUUCCAGUUUUUGUGUUGUGUUCUAUAAAUGUCAGUUAAGUCAAGUUGGAAAACAAUAUUGUACAACUCUUCUAUAUCUUUACUGAUUUAUUUUUGUCUGCUUAUUCUAUCAGAUGCUGAGAGAAUUGCGUUAAAAUUUCUACCUAUGAUUGUGGAUUUGUCUGUGUCUCUUUUUAGUCUGGUCAACUUUUAUUUAACAUAUUUUGAACUUAUUAGUUGCAUACAAGCUAAGGGUUGAUUUGCAUUCUUAUUGAAUUGACUCUUUUAUCAUUAGGAAAUAUCCCUCUUUAUCUUUUGUAAUACUUCUUGCUUUAAAAUACCCACAUCAGCUUUCUUUUGUUAGUGUUUACAUGAUGUAUCUUUUUACAUGAUGUAACCUUUUACUUUCAACUUUUCAC
rnacentral:lncRNA from 1 species